UGGGGAGCAAACAGGAUUAGAUACCCUGGUAGUCCACGCCGUAAACGAUGAGCACUAGGUGUCGGGCUCGCAAGAGUUCGGUGCCGGAGCAAACGCAUUAAGUGCUCCGCCUGGGGAGUACGCACGCAAGUGUGAAACUCAAAGGAAUUGACGGGGACCCGCACAAGCAGCGGAGCAUGUGGUUUAAUUCGAAGCAACGCGAAGAACCUUACCAAGGCUUGACAUAUAGUUGAGUUAUUGAGAAAUUGAUAAGUCCCUCGGGACAGCUAUACAGGUGGUGCAUGGUUGUCGUCAGCUCGUGUCGUGAGAUGUUGGGUUAAGUCCCGCAACGAGCGCAACCCUUAUCUUCAGUUACCAGCACGUAAAGGUGGGGACUCUGGAGAGACUGCCGAUGAUAAAUCGGAGGAAGGUGGGGAUGACGUCAAAUCAUCAUGCCCUUUAUGUCUUGGGCUACACACGUGCUACAAUGGUUGGUACAACGAGAAGCGAGAUAGUGAUGUCAAGCAAAACUCUAAAAGCCAAUCUCAGUUCGGAUUGUAGGCUGCAACUCGCCUACAUGAAGUCGGAGUUGCUAGUAAUCGUGAAUCAGAAUGUCGCGGUGAAUGCGUUCCCGGGUCUUGUACACACCGCCCGUCACACCAUGGAAGUUGGGGGUGCCCGAAGUCGGUUAGUUAAUCUAUCGCCUAAGGCAAAACCAAUGACUGGGGUGAAGUCGUAACAAGGUAGCCGUAUCGGAAGGUGCGGCUG
rnacentral:rRNA from 1 species